UUGCGGCAUCUUCUCUGUCCUCCCCGAGCGAGCCGCACGAGGAUAACAAAAAAACAUAGCAUCAUCUCCCCCCGUCUCCCUCCUCCCUCUCCACUCUCCAGGUGAUCGUCUGCGGCGCAGCUUGUGAUCUACCUCUGCGAGAACGCCCCCCUACAUCUCCAAGGUUGCUUCCUAUGUAGCCCUUCUCUAGCCCUUCCCGUGUAGGACGAUAAUUCCGCGUUUUUUACAUCACUUUUGAUUGUUACAAGCGUUGGAUCUGUUGUGGGAAAUCGGGGGAUCUGCAUGCAUGUAUGUCCCAUGCAUGCGGUGGUUGGUAAAGUCGCUUAUGUUGAAACCCUGCGAGGUUCCUCAGACUAAUUCUCGAGAAACUACUGCCGGACUGAACCUUGCUUUGCUUGUUCACAACUCUCUCUUCCGCGCACGAAUCAUGUUGACCAUUCUAAUUAAGAGCCUAGUUUGGUUCUGCAGCCCUAAGAUAGGAGGAAGAAACUAGAUAACAGAUGCAGCGCUUCAGGAAGAUCUCCAACUUCCUCUUAUACACCUGAAGAAUGUCUGGGGAAAGCUUUUCUUAUCCAGCAGGGGAGUGAAUCGGAUCUGUUUUUUACUUACUGUUGAGGUUAACAAGGAGUUUGUUGCCGACCCGCGCGCCUCCACGACGGCCAAGCCAGAGAACGGGGUUUGUUGAUCACCAACGAACGGCUGCCCCGACCCCGAUUAACAAGGAGUUUUGUACGUAGUUCAUAUUAAUAAAAUCUUUAAAAUGACUUAUAUAUAUUUAGGAACGAACGAAGGGAGUACUUUGCAUUCAGGUUCACUUCGAUCGUACUGAUUCUCGAUGCUGCUAAUUUCAGGAUGGAUCCCUUCUCCAAAACACCAUGUACGGAUGACAAGAUGCAGAAGCAUUCCCAAUCCGUGCCGCCACCGCAGGCAGUGGACACCAUAUCCAGGGUGCUCGAUGACGACGACCUCCUCGUCGAGAUCAUUGUCCGACUCGGCCUGCCCACCACCCUCGUCCGAGCCAUCCUUGUUUGCAAGCGCUGGUUCUUCCUUGUAUCCGACAAGGCCUUUCUCCGCCGCUUCCGCAGCCUCCACCCGCCCCGUCUCCUCGGCUUCUAUGUCUCCACCAGGUCCACUAACGAGCUCUUUCCGGUCCUCCUCCGCCCGCGCUUUGUCCCCAUGCUGCCUCAGCCUCGCCUCCGGAGCUCGGCACCGCUAUCUGCCUGGUCGAGGCCUACAGUCUGGACGCGUACGACGAAGAACUCGCAUGCAUUUUUGACUGCCAGAACGACACCAUCCUUUUCUAUGGCCUUCAAGGCAAGAAAACCUUGUUUGGAGUGCACUGGCCGCUCUGCCCAGACAGAGGCGUUGAACCACCCAUGACACCAUAUGAACAAUUAGAUGUCGCUUCAGCUGCAUGCGCUUGUGCCAACUUCCUCUUAAAGGAAGAAGGUGACGGUAAGAGCCUGACCUUCAUAAAGUUGUCAAUGGGUUAUCUCAUAAAUGGUACAGAUAAUUCUAUGAAAUACAAGGCGCACAUAUAUAUGCUGCAAGAUGGUCUUUGGCACUGGCGUUCCUCAGCGAAGGCAGUGCUCCCUUCUCCGCGAUCGGAUCCACAUCCUUUGCUGUCUGGCAAUAAGAUCUAUAUGGAGCACUCCUCGAGCAUUGCUGCAUUGGAUUUGACAACCUCAAACUUCUCCACUAUUCCGCUCCCGGAAGGAAUGGAACGGUAUGUUUGUGAAGAUAUGAUGAUGUCACAGGCUAAUGAUUCUGGGAUUUAUCUCAUAUAUCUUGAGAAACUGCAGCUUCGCAUCUGGCUCCACAAGGGGGACAGCAGUGGCAGCAUGAGAAACUGGUUGGUUUUCGAUACCAUCUGCUUGCGUGAUAUGUUGGAUGCUUUGGGGAUGGCAGAUGGUGAGAAGCCAACUCUUAUCAACACCAGCCAAAUGGGGGAUGAUCUCCAGUUUGUGUUCUUGAAGAUGGGCCAAUGUGCACUUUACUUGGAUAUUAAACACAGGGAGAUGCGUAAAGUGUAUGAGGUGACAGAAGAUGACCGAACUUUAGAACGGAUUUAUCCUUUUAUGAUGACAUGGCCACCCACAUUCCCUGUGCUCAAGAAUGAUCCUGCAAGGUUUGUCUUUAGCCUUUGGGUGAUCUAUACGUGUUGACAACUUGAGAUAACCAACAUUUGCGAUGUGCGUUCUAUUAGUAUUUUGUUUCUCAUAUGCAUUAUACUCAUUAAUGGUUGGGAUUUGUAGUUAUGAUCAAUAUGUAAUCAUAAAAAAAAUGUUUCAGGAUAUAAUAGGCUGCACUGAUCAUGCUUACUUUAUAAGUAGUUCAUCUCAUCUUCCAUUGCACUGUUUCGUAGAGCUGUUGAAUGCGUCGGGUACUAUAUGAUUGAUUCAGUAAUCAGUAGGCUAUUUUGGGAAUUCCAGUGUCCGUACGAAAUGAUUGAUUCCAUAGGCUAUAUAGAACUCUGGGUGGCAACGUUUUGAUUGAUAAAUUAUGAAGGCAGAUAUUUCUGUUCUGUAACUUGUCAUUUAAUCUCUAUGCUAGAACAUAUGUAUCAUAUUGACUUGUGGUUUCCACAUAAUAUUUGAGUACUGUUGCACCUUCUUGUGGUUCCUCUUGUGGUCUCCACAUAAUAUACGCUGGAACAUCCGUAUUAUAUCUAUUUGAUUCUUACCUUCUCAUGCUUGAUAAUCUUCUUUCUCCUGAUUCUUUAAUUUAUUUUUUCUUUCUAGUCCCAAGAGAACUGUCAUACGAAGAACAAGGACGUUAUGAAGAGUUGUAUGGCCAGAAUGAUGUUGAAAAUAUGGGCGUUACCAAGAAUAAGGGCACCCGGCAUCAAGGAAGAGCAGAACGAUGUUGUAGUACCGCCAGGACCUGUUUCCAACCUGUUAUUGCUACUUUCUUUUUCUUAGAAAAUGGUAAAUCGAAAGGACUCACCAUGAAACAGUUAUCUAGAGAUUGAAAGGGAUUAGUUUGUUUUUCAAAGUUUAUGUAAUAAUAAUAAUAGUAGGACUCCAAUAUUUGGGGAACGUCAGAUUUGGAGCCUCCUUGGAACGAACGAAGGAAAUCGUUUGCUGGGACGUACCCCCCUGAGCGAAAAGGCCCUGGAUCUAGUGCCAAAAAGGUACCAUGCUUUAUAGAUGAAAUGGGAAAAAUAAAUAGAAAAUGUG
rnacentral:lncRNA from 1 species